ACAUCUGAAGAGGUUGGGAGGCGUUGAUGCUGCAGACCAUGUGAAGAAGUCAAUGGCUGCAACUAUGACAAAUAAAAUGAUGGCCAUAAUGAGCCUCAGAGGAAGAAGUGGGAAGGUUGCCUUCAUGAAGACCCGUCUCUACAAGAUAAUCUGUGACGCUGUCUUGAGCUCAUUUGAUACAACUACAACAAAAGUAGACAAAUACAUGGCCAAAUACUUGAAAUAUGCACCAGAGAGGAUGGGUUG